rnacentral:rRNA from 1 species
AGUGAACGCUGGCGGCAGGCCUAACACAUGCAAGUCGAACGGCAGCACAGGAGAGCUUGCUCUCUGGGUGGCGAGUGGCGGACGGGUGAGGAAUACAUCGGAAUCUACCCUUUCGUGGGGGAUAACGUAGGGAAACUUACGCUAAUACCGCAUACGAUCUGAGGAUGAAAGCAGGGGACCGCAAGGCCUUGCGCGAUUGGAUGAGCCGAUGUCCGAUUAGCUAGUUGGCGGGGUAAAGGCCCACCAAGGCGACGAUCGGUAGCUGGUCUGAGAGGAUGAUCAGCCACACUGGAACUGAGACACGGUCCAGACUCCUACGGGAGGCAGCAGUGGGGAAUAUUGGACAAUGGGCGCAAGCCUGGUCCAGCCAUGCCGCGUGUGUGAAGAAGGCCUUCGGGUUGUAAAGCACUUUUGUUGGGAAAGAAAUCCUGUCGGCCAAUACCCGGCGGGGAUGACGGUACCCAAAGAAUAAGCACCGGCUAACUUCGUGCCAGCAGCCGCAGUAAUAC